rnacentral:rRNA from 1 species
AACGAACGCUGGCGGCAUGCUUAACACAUGCAAGUCGAACGCCCCGCAAUGGGAGUGGCAGACGGGUGAGUAACACGUGGGAACAUACACUUUUCUACGGAAUCGCUGUGGGAAACUGGAAUUGAUACCGUUAACGCCCUACGAGAGAAAGAUUUAUCGGGGAAGGAUUGGACCGCGUUGGAUUAGCUAGUUCGUGGGGUAAAGGCCUACAAAGGCGAUGAGCCAUAGCUGGGCUGAGAGGAUGAGCAGCCACAUUGGGACUGAGACAAGGCCCAAACUCCUACGGGAGGGAGCAGUGGGGAAUAUUGGACAAUGGGCGCAAGCCUGAUCGAGCUAUGCCGCGUGAGUCAUGAAGGCCUUAGGGGUGUAAAGCUGUUUCACCGAUGAAGAUAAUGACGGUAGUCGGAGAAGAAGCCCCGGCUAACUUCGUGCCAGCCGCCGCAGUAA